rnacentral:lncRNA from 1 species
UUCUUUUGGGUUCUCCUUUCCAAAUGAGAAACCAGACCCUUUUAGGGUUUCCUCAACCCUCAUACGCCACCGCUUAGCCUCGCGCCAAGGCUUCCGUCGACGCCCCGAUCUCCGAUCGCGACAGAGAGGGACACCAACUCGGCGAUUCCGGCGAAAAAGGUAGGUUUUCUCUUCCUUUCUUUAUAUUUUAAGCAAAAAUAAAUAAAAAAAAUAGCGAAACUAAAAAAAAAAUCAAAUAUAUAUAUGUACAAAUGAAGAAAAAAAAUGAAAGAACGAUAAUCGACAAAAUGGUAAAACAGAAAAGAAAACCUUUUUAUUUCAAAAAAAAGAAGGUUUCCUCUGUUUUUUAUUCUUUCGGUCCCCCCUUUUAUAGAUUACAAAAUGGCCUUUUAUAGGCCGAAAAAGAGAAAGAAAAUAAAUCGAAAAAGAAAAAAAAAUAUUGCUUGCUGUUUGUUUUUCUUUGGACUCCUUAAGUCCGUUUUUCAGGCGUUCAUGGAGUGUAAACGCGCGUGGGGAGGCCGACCUCCGAGUUGUGUGGUGACUGGGCGUUGGGCACGACACUGAAGGCUUGCUGCGGCGCUCCUUGCUGCCAUUUGCUGAAGGUUCUAGGGUUUAGCUUUUCUUUUUUCUUUUGGGCCGUGUUUGCUUUAGAUGGGCUUGUAAAUCUUGGACUGAUUUUAAUUUUGUUUGGACCUGGGUCGAUUGGGCCCUAUUACAUUACAAUUUAG